UACGGGGGGGGGCAAGCGUUUGUUCGGAAUUACUGGGCGUAAAGGGCUCGUAGGCGGCCAACUAAGUCAGACGUGAAAUCCCCAGGCUCAACCUGGGAACUGCGUCUGAUACUGGAUGGCUUGAAUCCGGGAGAGGGAUGCAGAAUUCCAGGUGUAGCGGUGAAAUGCGUAGAUAUCUGGAGGAAUACUGGUGGCGAAGGCGGCAUCCUGGACCGGCAUUGACGCUGAGGCGCGAAAGCGUGGGGAGCAAACAGG
rnacentral:rRNA from 1 species